rnacentral:rRNA from 1 species
AUUGAACGCUAGCGGGAUGCUUUACACAUGCAAGUCGAACGAGUGGCGGACGGGUGAGUAAUGUAUGGGAACGUGCCCAGUAGCGGGGGAUAACUACUCGAAAGAGUGGCUAAUACCGCAUAAUAUUCGAUCAGCCCAUAUCGGAUUAGCUAGGUGGUGGGGUAAAGGCUCACCAAGGCCACGAUCCGUAGCUGGUUUGAGCGGCUGACCAGCCACACUGGGACUGAGACACGGCCCAGACUCCUACGGGAGGCAGCAGUGGGGAAUUUUGGACAAUGGGGGCAACCCUGAUCCAGCCAUCCCGCGUGUAUGAGAAGGCCUUCGGGUUGUAAAGUACUUUUGGCAGAGAAGCGGUAUCUGCAGAAUAAGCACCGGCUAACUACGUGCCAGCAGCCGCGGUAAUAC